CUGGAAUAAACGCCCUCACGGGUGCUACCCAGAAACCCUUUGUGAAUACUACCUAAAAUGUUGCCUCGGCAUUGGUUGGCCUCUUUGAGGUCCCUUUCCCUUGGGGAAGGAGCAGACCGGCCGGUGGCCCUAUAAACUCUUGUUUUUGUAAUAUCAUCUGAGUAAAAAACAUAAAUAAAUCA
rnacentral:misc_RNA from 1 species